rnacentral:rRNA from 1 species
GACGAACGCUGGCGGCGUGCUUAACACAUGCAAGUCGAACGGAAAGGCCCUGCUUUUGUGGGGUGCUCGAGUGGCGAACGGGUGAGUAACACGUGAGUAACCUGCCCUUGACUUUGGGAUAACUUCAGGAAACUGGGGCUAAUACCGGAUAGGAGCUCCUGCUGCAUGGUGGGGGUUGGAAAGUUUCGGCGGUUGGGGAUGGACUCGCGGCUUAUCAGCUUGUUGGUGGGGUAGUGGCUUACCAAGGCUUUGACGGGUAGCCGGCCUGAGAGGGUGACCGGCCACAGUGGGACUGAGAUACGGCCCAGACUCCUACGGGAGGCAGCAGUGGGGAAUAUUGCACAAUGGGCGGAAGCCUGAUGUAGCAACGCCGCGUGCGGGAUGACGGCCUUCGGGUUGUAAACCGCUUUCGCCUGUGACGAAGCGUGAGUGACGGUAAUGGGUAAAGAAGCACCGGCUAACUACGUG